CAAACGUUGUGUUGAUGAUUAAGGAAGACUAUUUGAAGGCAACGUUUUAGCGAUGAGAUUGAGACUUGACGAAAACAAAGAAGAAAUGACAGAGAGUGCAGCUUUGAGCCAAUUCAGACGUGGAUCUUUUUUGAUGGAGUCCAUCUUCCAAAGCAAGAAGGGAGAUAAAUUGGCAGAGAGAGAGAGGAAAGAGAGAGAGCAGGGAGAGAUAGAGACAGUCGACAGUCCUGCUCUGCAUCAGUCUUUACCCGGAGUGAAG